GCCUACGAUCAUACUACGUUGAAAGCACCGCAUCCCGUCAGAUCUGCGAAGUUAAGCAACGUUAGGCCGGGUUAGUACUAUGGUUGGUGACAACAUGGGAACACUCGGUGUCGUAGGGU
rnacentral:rRNA from 1 species